UACGUAGGUGUCGAGCGUUGUCCGGAUUUAUUGGGCGUAAAGCGCCCGCAGGCGGCUUGGCAAGUUUGAGGUGAAAUCUCCCGGCUCAACUGGGAGGGUGCCUCGAAAACUGCCAGGCUUGAGUCAUGGAGAGGGAUGUGGAAUUCCAGGUGUAGUGGUGAAAUGCGUAGAUAGUCAGGAGGAACACCUGUGGCGAAAGCGGCUCACUGGACCGAUUACUGACGCUGAUGCUCGAAAGCUAGGGGAGCAAACAGG
rnacentral:rRNA from 1 species